rnacentral:rRNA from 1 species
CAAUAGCGUAUAUUAAAGUUGUUGCAGUUAAAAAGCUCGUAGUUGGAUUUCUGGUGGGAGCGAUCGGUCUGGCGCUUAGCGCGAGUACUUGCAUCGUCUCCGGCCAUCCUUGGGGAGAGUCUGUCUGGCAUUAAGUUGUCGGGCAGAGGAUCCUCAUCGUUUACUGUGAAAAAAUUAGAGUGUUCAAAGCAGGCUUAUGCCGUUGAAUAGAUUAGCAUGGAAUAAUAAGAUAGGACUUUGGUACUAUUUUGUUGGUUUGCGCACCAAAGUAAUGAUUAAUAGGGACAGUUGGGGGUAUUCGUAUUCCGUUGUCAGAGGUGAAAUUCUUGGAUUUACGGAAGACGAACUACUGCGAAAGCAUUUACCAAGGAUGUUUUCAUUAA